UCUUUUUUUUCUCUCUCUCUCUUCUUCUUCCUCCGUGCGCCGCGACCCCCAUCAGGUUUCUUCUCCUUCCCGUUCGCAACAACCGCCGCCCCAACCGUCCUCUUCUCCUUCCCGUUCGCUGCAACCGGCCAUCUCCAUCUUCUCUUCUCCUCUCUGUUUCCGUCUCCAUCUCCGGUUCGCGAAGCAACCUUGCAGCAGUCGUCCCGCGCGCCGAUCUGCCAUCUCCACCACCGGUUCUGUCUCCGUCGAAGCCACGGUUCUACAACUGUCUCUGCCGGUUCUGUCUCCGUCGAAGCCACGGUUCUCUCUCCGUCGACCACGCUCCCCACUCACAACCGUCGCUCCACCUGCUAUCGACGUCGGCCGACUAGUUGCGGUAACCGUUCAGAUUUGCUGUAACCGUUCAGAUUUGCUGUAACCGUUCAGAUUCGCGGUCUGUUCGCGACGGUCUCCAUCCGUGAAGUCCAGCCGCCACGUUCCCUUUGGCCGACCGCUGACCGACCCACACUUAGGAUUUUUGCUGCGAGUUCGACAGUCGUGCGUUGAGGUGUUGGGAGUAACGUUUGGCUCCCUUACAUUCACAACCAGUUUGUGAAUUGUUGAAGGUUCAGUUCGCCAUUAUAUCGGAUUGUUUCGAGGACGUUAGUUGAUUAAGGAGCUUCCCUAACUUUGAGGUAAGGGAUUUUCUACUGGACUCAAUUAUGAUUGUGAACUGUAUGUGUGUUGAAUGUAUACUGUGCAUUGACUGAAAAUAUAUAUGAACGCAUGUGAAUUGAAGUAGACUUAACGUCGAAUGUAUAUCGUGAUUUUCAUGGAAUAUAUAUAUAAGUGUGUGUAUGUGGACAGGAUGAAGAUUGUAGAUUGUGUUUGUAUGAGAUGCAGGUGUGAAAUUGUGAUUCUCGUUUAGAUUGGGUGUACGUUACACUAAAGCAUGAUUGUGUGCUGGUGAACUGAGGGGUGUAUUGACUGUAUAGUUGAUUGACUGACGUAUUAGUACAUCAUUGACAGACAUAUGACUAAAGUAAAAUAAGUUGACUGUUAGGACGU